GGGGCUGUGGCGGAAUUGGCAGACGCAGCAGACUCAAAAUCUGCCAAUCGAGAGGUUGUAUGGGUUCAAGUCCCAUCAGCCCCACCA
rnacentral:tRNA from 1 species